rnacentral:rRNA from 1 species
GACGAACCGUGCGAACGUUAUUCGGAAUCACUGGGCUUAAAGCGCGUGUAGGCGGCCCGGCACGUCCGACGCUGAAAUCCCACGGCUUAACCGUGGAACUGCUUGGUAUACUGGCGGUCUUGAGCCACUUAGGGGCUACCGGAACAAAUGGUGGAGCGGUGAAAUGCGUAGAUAUCAUUUGGAACGCCAAUGGUGAAAACAGGUAGCUGGGAGUGUGCUGACACUGAGACACGAAAGCCAGGGGAGCAAACGGG